ACAGACGGUGUACUGGGUUCUUUUAGCUUCAGUGGGAGCGAAGAGAUUAGCCAGUCUGGAAACACUGAGAUGAAUCAGUCGAGCGACUGGCCCGACAGCGAGGCGUGGAACCCCGAGAUUUAAAGGGCUGCGGACUUAAGCAAACUCUUUAGAUAUGUUUUCAUAGUGUUUGAAGUUUUAAAUAGAGACACUGUAAAUACUAUGUGAGCAUUAAUUCUCCCAAUAAAUACGUCGUACUGUAAACUGCUCUGUGACUGUGAACAAGACUUCACGACAAAGAACAACAAAAAGAGGAAGUGCAUCUGAGAGCAGAUACUGUGAGAAGCUGUGAACACUAUCACUGUAAUCAUAACACCUACAAGGAGCUGUUUUCUGGCCUGUAUGAUAGUAAGCCAAUUGUUUUUACAUCCCCUUUCAAAGUGUGAAAACAUCCUUCUUCUUUGAGUCUCAUUCUCGGACUGAGGCUGUGUGUGACAGACUGAUACAAGUGGGUCCUCUGAGAAAUACACAUGAGAUGGACGCUCAGACAGUUACAUGGUUGUUUUUUCUGGCCCUAAUGAAAAGUAAGGAUUGUAUUUCUCCAGUUUGAAAAUAAGGUUUAAUAUUUUUUCAAACAUUUGUAAUAAAGAAUAACUGAUUUUCUCACUUGUGUUUCACCGACAGAUGUUUCUACAAGUGACCCUGAAAGUCCCGUUAAAUACCCGCCCACUGAACCUAAACUGUCUAUGAGGUCUGAGGUCACAGAAGGUCAGACCAUCACCAUCAACUGCACUACUGAAAGUUUCCCACAAUCAACUCUCACCUUGAUGAGGAUCAACACAAAUAAUCAGGCUGAAAUAAUCCCUGAAACUAAUCGUAAUUCACGACCCAUCAACUCUCUCUCCGACACGUUUACUGUGACUUCAGCCGACGCUGGCUUAUACUUCUGCCGUGCCCAGAACACUGAGGGCUCAAAGGACAGCAAGCAGCAGGAGUUGGUGGUGAAAUACCCGCCCACUGAACCUCUACUGUUCAUGAGGUCUAACGUCACAGAAGGUCAGAUCAUCACCGUCAGCUGCACUGCUGAAAGUUUCCCACAGUCAACUCUCACCUUGAUGAGGAUCGACAAAUAUCAUCAGUCUUUAAAAAUCACUGAAAAUAAUCUUUAUUCACGACCCAUCAACUCUCUCUACCACAAGUUUACUGUGACUUCAGCCGACGCUGGCUGGUACGUCUGCCGUGCCCAGAACA